rnacentral:misc_RNA from 1 species
AACGCACAUUGCGCCCUUUGGCAUUCCGAGGGGCAUGCCUGUCCGAGCGUCAUUAUCAACCGUCAAGCCCGGCUUGCCAUUGAGCCCGCCCGCGACGGGGCCGGCCCGAAAGACAGCGACGGGGCCGGUCGGACCCGAGAUGCAACGAGCUCCCCGUAGCACGCAUCGAAGCGGCCGGCGGCCCCCGUCUCCCCCGUACCCACUUCAAGGUUGACCUCGGAUCAGGUAGGAAUACCCGCUGAACUUAA